rnacentral:rRNA from 1 species
UGGGGAAUGUUGCACAAUGGAGGGAACUCUGAUGCAGCGACGCCGCGUGAGUGAUGAAGGAAUUCGUUUCGUAAAACUCUGUUCUAUGGGAAGAAAAGGACUGUACCAUAGGAGAAAGCUCCGGCUAAAUACGUGCCAGCAGCCGCGGUAAUACGUAUGGAGCGAGCGUUGUCCGGAAUUAUUGGGCGUAAAGGGUGCGCAGGCGGCUUUACAAGUUGGAUGUGAAAUAUUGUGGCUCAACCACAAACGUGCAUCCAAAACUGCAAAGCUUGAGUUAAGGAGAGGUAAGUGGAAUUCCUGGUGUAGCGGUGGAAUGCGUAGAUAUCAGGAGGAAUACCGGUGGCGAAGGCGACGUACAGGACUUAAACUGACGCUCAGGCACGAAAGCGUGGGGAGCAAACAGG